rnacentral:lncRNA from 1 species
CCCUGGCCCGCUUGUAAAUUGCUUAUGGGUGACUGUAAGACCGAGGGCCUUACCAAACGCUCCGAGGAGCUGACUGCAGCGAAGAACACCCAGGAAGGAACACACCGGACAAGUUGGAAAGCUAGUGAUGUGUCAUACAAUACUCUCUUUUGAUAUGGAGGCAGCUACAGUGAACCACAGUUCCCAGUUGGCCACACCAUCAUGAUCAUGUGGGUCAACAACUGACACUCUGCAACAUACUGUGUUGCCAACUCUUUUUGGAUACAGCUCCUGUCUUCAUUCUUUGCUUCCUGGCUGCCAUGAUGUGAGCAGUGUUCCUUUACCCAGACCCUUCCACCAUGCUGUUCCUGCCUUGGAGCCAGCCUACCAGGGAUUUUAACUGGGAGACUGAGAUAAGGGAAAUGGACGACUUAAUCUGAUAGAGAAACUUUAAGACAGCCCAGUGUUGAGGGUGUGGUAUAUAUUGAAAAUCAGCUGCAAAAAGCCCACUUCAAAAAGUUUAAAAUUUCACCAGACAGGAAAUGCCUGCAAAGUUGGGCCCUGAGGAAGCUGAUUGUUGAAAAGACUAGCAUUAAAAAGAAGCCAUAUAUAUUGCAUCAGAACAAUGGGAAAGAUACUUUGAGGAGAUCUCAGGAAUCAGCAAGACCCCCCCCACCCCCACCCCAGGCUCAAGGGUGCAAAAGUGAAAGACUGCUUUGAGAACAGAGCCACAGGGUUCCUCCUCAAGGAUGCCUGCCUGGGCUGGGGAUUUAGCUCAGUGGUUUCGCCACCAGCCUCGAAAGUGCAAGGACCCGAGUUUGAUCCCCAGUAUCAAAAAAAAAAAAAAAAGUUCAACAAGAAUAACUGCCUAAGGAAUUGGUUCCUCAAGUUUCAGUUUAUAGUGCUCAGCCAUCCAGGUACUCAGAGGCCUCUGUCGCCAUAAUCCAUGACCCACCUGGCAGCAGACUUUGGCAUCAUCCAUGUGGUGCUGGUUUUAUCGGUAUGCAGAAUGCAAGAGUUAGAAAUUCAAGGUUUCCAGCCAGACUUCUGAUGGAGGCCUGUAAGCCCAGGCAGUGUAACCCUGAGAGGGCAGUUUAUGAACCUGUGAGAGUGAAGCCAGAAAUGCAGUGGAGA